AAUGAAUUGCCUGAUAAAAGGAUUACCUUGAUAGGGUAAAUAAUAUGAUAAAUAUAUCAUAUUCAUUA
rnacentral:tRNA from 1 species